GGUUCAGGAUGAACGCUAGCGGCAGGCUUAACACAUGCAAGUCGAGGGCAUCGGGAGUAGCAAUACUUGCCGGCGACCGGCGCAAGGGUGCGUAACGCGUGAGCAACAUGCCCGUAUCAGGGGGAUAAUCCAUGGAAACGUGGUCUAAUACCCCAUAGUAAUUAUGUAAGGCAUCUUAUAUAAUUUAAAGCUUUGGUGGAUACGGAUUGGCUCGCGUGACAUUAGCUGGAUGGUAAGGUAACGGCUUACCAUAGCUACGAUGUCUAGGGGUUCUGAGAGGAAGGUCCCCCACACUGGAACUGAGACACGGUCCAGACUCCUACGGGAGGCAGCAGUGAGGAAUAUUGGACAAUGGAUGGAAAUCUGAUCCAGCCAUGCCGCGUGCCAGGAAGACGGCCCUAUGGGUUGUAAACUGCUUUUGUAUGGGAGCAAUAAGGGCUACGUGUAGUCCGAUGAGAGUACCAUACGAAUAGGCACCGGCUAACUCCGUGCCAGCCGCCGC
rnacentral:rRNA from 1 species